CGAAAGCCUGACGGAGCAAGACCGCGUGGGGGAAGAAGGCUCUUGGGUUGUAAACCCCUUUUCUCUGGGAAGAAAGUUGUGAAAGCAACCUGACGGUACCAGAGGAAUCAGCAUCGGCUAACUCCGUGCCAGCAGCCGCGGUAAGACGGAGGAUGCAAGCGUUAUCCGGAAUGAUUGGGCGUAAAGCGUCCGCAGGUGGCAGUUCAAGUCUGCUGUCAAAGACUGGGGCUUAACUUCGGAAAGGCAGUGGAAACUGAACAGCUAGAGUAUGGUAGGGGCAGAGGGAAUUCCUGGUGUAGCGGUGAAAUGCGUAGAGAUCAGGAGGAACAUCGGUGGCGAAGGCGCUCUGCUGGACCAUAACUGACACUCAGGGACGAAAGCUAGGGGAGCG
rnacentral:rRNA from 1 species